UAAAUAUCCAGUGCAAGCAAACAGGAAUGCUGCUUAUUCACAAAGCAUCUCGAAGAGGCCUGUUCAUUUGCUCAUUGUUGACUGUAGACUGAAAAAUCCCAUAGCAUAAUUUAGCAUAACUUCUUCCAAAUUGAUUAGUUUACAUACUGAGCAGCAGAACUCAGUAAACUGUAUUAACAAUAACAUACAACAAGACAGUAUGAUCAGUAGCUUGAUUUUAUUUUGUUUUCAGUUCAAGUGGCACAACAUCUCUCUGCAGCCAUAACGGCUCUCCUUUUUUUUUUUUUUUUUUUUUUUCCAGGAACUACUUAGUUAGGCAGUGUUUUGGAAAACAGUAUUGCUUCUCUUCUGCUGAAAGGAAAAAGGUUGCAACAUUGCAUGGCAGAUAAUGCAUGACCCAUGAUAACAAAUCAAUGAAAUAUUUCUAAGAAUUCUGCUUGUGCUGUUUUCUAUCUCUACCACUUAGUGAAAGUAAGAAACUUUCUGGAAGGUAGUGCCUUAGGGUCACAGAAGAAAGAAAGAAAUGUUCUUAAAAGACUUUACUAGGAAUUGCCCUGCAAUUGUGUCCUGCUGUAACCCUUUGGUCUCUGUCUGCUCCUGACCCUGGCUGCUCAGAGGAAGGCUUGCUGGACUGGCUGCACUGCAGAGCACAAACUGGCCUCUACUUCAGUCCCGUGACUCAGAAGAGAAAUGUGUCCUUGACAAGCUGCUGGCCACAGUGGGGGCUCCUGCAUAUGUCUGCUUUGCAAGAAGAUUUUGACCGGAGCCGUGGCUUGAGGUAAGGAGCAAGCGCUGCUGCCUUAGGCUUGUGCUGGGCAUUGGAAACUUGACUUGGAAACUUGACUGCAACUUGACGACAGAAAGCUGUGACUUUCAGCCUGGUUUAAUAGGGUGGAAAAAUGGCUAUUGUUUCUGAGAUUUCAUUUUCUCUGUAUUAUCCCUUAUACUUUUAAAGCACUCUUUCUCAACUAAUUUAUAGGACAGAUAAUUUAAUCUGAGAGCUGAGUAAAUGUGCUGUAAUAC
rnacentral:lncRNA from 1 species